AAGCGGCGGCUGGGCCCUGCAGGCGGAGGAAGUGGAAAAAGUCGCGGGAGGGUAGGGGACCGCGGAACUUCUGGUUGCUAUGACGACGGCAAAGCCCUGGAUUCCUGUCUCCUGCGGAGAGCAGAGGCUGCAAACGCAUCCGCAGACGCCUUUAUACGUACUCCAAAAUGCUAGUAAGGAUGAAGAUGAACUCUCCUCAGCCCGUGUCUUUUAACUGUAGAAACUUUUCUGAGAAAUGAAAAGAGGCUUGCUCAUGACUUGGAAGCGGUGGGCUGAGGCCUCCCAAGACCAUCUGGCUUGUUCCAUUGCCAGCCAGAGUGGAGGCGACAUUCACACGAACCCAGGAGCUGCAGGGGCGCGUGAGCUACAGCUGCCUUGUGGCAUCCAAGGAGUGCGCAGUGAGAUUCCGCAGGAGAAAUCACGCUUUGCAUGUUCUUGAGUACAAGAAACAUGUGUAAUGAGGGUUUUUGUUUGCGGGCAUGCCAAGGAGAACGACUGGAAUAUUAAAGUCAUCACAGCCUUUAUUUAAGGGAGAAGAGGACAAGCAUGAAUAUGCUGAUAGUUCAGAGAUAUUUAGGACCUUCAGCAGCUCAGCACUCAUCCUAGAUUUAUACAAAUACCUUUCCAGAGAUGAAGUUUUUAAAAGCCUUUUAAAGGAAUUUUAUUUGUUCUUUUCACGUGGGGAAAAGUGAUGAGUAUAUCUAUGCAAGUAUGAGAAAUGGCCAAGGCCACUCCAUGUAAUUUUUUACUUAUCCUAUAGCUACACAAAGAAAAUAGCACCAAGUGUUGUAGAGGAAAAUCUACUAGACUUCAAGCCCGGCUUGAAUUCAAU
rnacentral:lncRNA from 1 species